AUGGCUGGACUGGCAUGUAUUACUUGACACCUGGCUAGGUCGGGAAGGCGAGCUUAUUCUUUCCAAAUAUGCCCAGCUGGGUUUUGAGUGUGAAAUCAGCUAAGACUCCAGGGCAAAGAUAGGAAUGUGGCGAUUGUCAUCAAGGGUUUCUUGUAGCUUUCAGGGGCACUGCAUUACAGGCUCUUCUCACAGUCGCUCAUGUCCUAAUCAGCUCCAGACUGGACUGUUGUAAUGCAUUCUACAUGGGGCUGCCCUUGAAAGAUAUCUGGAAAUGUCAACUGAUACAGAAUGCAGCAGUGUGAGCAAUUAUGUGUACUCUUAAAACAGCACAUGUCCCAUCUCUGCUCUGCAAGCUUGUCUGGCUCCAAAAACCAAUAAAGACACAUUGAGUUUCUUCUAA